UAAGAGCGUGCAUCCUAGUUAGGCGUCCACACUUAUCGGUUUGUUUGAUGUUACAGCCAAGGGUCUGUAGCUCAGGUGGUUAGAGCACCGUCUUGAUAAGGCGGGGGUCGUAGGUUCAAGUCCUACCAGACCCACCAAGUUACGGGCGGCGGAGAGCGAUCUUGCCGUGAACUGGGGGAUUAGCUCAGCUGGGAGAGCACCUGCUUUGCAAGCAGGGGGUCGUCGGUUCGAUCCCGUCAUCCUCCACCAACACCUUGUGGUAGCCAAACGCAAGCAUCGAGAGAUCGGUGUUUGCGUUUGGCAUUGCCAAGACGAGUAGUAACUCGGCUGUUCUUUAACAAUAUGGAAUGUAGUAAAGGUGUCGCGGCGCGUUGAUGAGGCGCGCAAUUUAAACGCGACACUGGGUUGUGAUUGUAUCAACCAGUAUUACGAGUGAUCGAAAGACCGCUUGGAAUGCGGCACAACGCGAGAACUCAGC
rnacentral:tRNA from 1 species